rnacentral:misc_RNA from 1 species
GAUGAAGAACGUAGUGAAAUGCGAUAAGUAAUGUGAAUUGCAGAAUUCAGUGAAUCAUCGAAUCUUUGAACGCACAUUGCGCCCGCCAGUAUUCUGGCGGGCAUGCCUGUUCGAGCGUCAUUUCAACCAUCAAGCCCCAGGCUUGUGUUGGGGACCUGCGGCUGCCGCAGGCCCUGAAAACCAGUGGCGGGCUCGCUGUCACACCGGGCGUAGUAGAUUUUAUCUCGCUCAGGGCGUGCUGCGGGUUCCGGCCGUUAAAAAGCCUUUUUUACCCAAGGUUGACCUCGGAUCAGGUAGGAAGACCCGCUGAACUUAAGCAUAUCAAUAAGCGGAGA